GCAGGCCUAACACAUGCAAGUCGAGCCGUAACAGAUCCAGCUUGCUGGAUGCUGACGAGCGGCGGACGGGUGAGUAAUGCAUAGGAAUCUGCCCGAUAGUGGGGGAUAACCUGGGGAAACCCAGGCUAAUACCGCAUACGUCCUACGGGAGAAAGGGGGCUCCGGCUCCCGCUAUGGGAUGAGCCUAUGUCGGAUUAGCUAGUUGGUGAGGUAACGGCUCACCAAGGCGACGAUCCGUAGCUGGACUGAGAGGAUGAUCAGCCACAUCGGGACUGAGACACGGCCCGAACUCCUACGGGAGGCAGCAGUGGGGAAUAUUGGACAAUGGGGGAAACCCUGAUCCAGCCAUGCCGCGUGUGUGAAGAAGGCCCUCGGGUUGUAAAGCACUUUCAGCGAGGAAGAACGCCUA
rnacentral:rRNA from 1 species